ACGAACGCUGGCGGCGUGCUUAACACAUGCAAGUCGAACGGGCCCGCCCCUGUUUUUGGGGGUGGGUUGAGUGGCGAACGGGUGAGUAUCACGUGAGUAACCUGCCCCCUGCUCCUGGAUAACUGCUUGAAAGGGCGGCUAAUACGGGGUGUGCCGGCUGGUCCGCAUGGGCCUGGUCGGGAUAGUUUCAUCUUCGGGUGUUUCGGUGGGGGAUGGGCUCGCGGCCUAUCAGCUUGUUGGUGGGGUGAUGGCCCACCAAGGCGGUGACGGGUAGCCGGCCUGAGAGGGUGGGCGGCCACACUGGGACUGAGCCACGGCCCAGACUCCUGCGGGAGGCAGCAGUGGGGGGUAUUGCACAAUGGGCGGAAGCAUGAUGCAGCGACGUCGCGUGAGGGAUGGAGGCCUUCGGGUUGUGAACCUCUUUCUCCGGGGGUGAAGGCCCUGUCCGGUGCGGCGGGGUUGACGGUAGCCGGGUAUGAAGCGCCGGCUAACUACGUG
rnacentral:rRNA from 1 species